AGCGAACGCUGGCGGCAGGCCUAACACAUGCAAGUCGAACGGAUCCUCCCUGAUUAGUGGCGGACGGCUGAUUAACACGUGGGAACGUACCCGUUGGUACGGUACAACUCAGGGAAACUUGAGCUAAUACCGGAUGUGCCCUUCGGGGGUAAGAUUUAUCGCCAUUGGAGCGGCCCGCGUCUGUUUAGCUAGUUGGUGAGGUAAUAGCCGGCCAAGGCGACGAUCAGUAGCUGGUCUGGGAGCAUGAUCAGCCACACUGGAGCUACGACACGGCCAAGACUCCGAGGGGAGGGAGCAGAGGAGAAUCUUGCGCAAUGGAGGAAAGCCAGACACCGCCAUGCUGGGUAAAUGCGCCAGGUCUUAGGAAAGUAAAAUUCUUUCAGAGGAGGUGAUAGUGACGGUACCCGCAGAAGAAGCACCGGCUAACUUCGUG
rnacentral:rRNA from 1 species